rnacentral:rRNA from 1 species
UACAGAGGUCCCAAGCGUUGUUCGGAUUCACUGGGCGUAAAGGGUGCGUAGGCGGUCGGGUAAGUCUGUCGUGAAAUCUCCGAGCCCAACUCGGAAACUGCGUCGGAUACUAUUCGGCUAGAGGAAUGGAGGGGAGACUGGAAUUCUCGGUGUAGCAGUGAAAUGCGCAGAUAUCAGGAGGAACACCGGUGGCGAAGGCGGUUCUCUGGGCAUUACCUGACGCUGAGGAGCGAAAGUGUGGGGAGCGAACAGG